AGAUGCGAUCAUACCAGCACUAAAGCACCGGAUCCCAUCAGAACUUUGAAGUUAAGCGUGCUUGGGUGAGAGUAGUACUAGGAUGGGUGACCUCCUGGGAAGUCCUCGUGUUGCAUUCC
rnacentral:rRNA from 1 species